rnacentral:misc_RNA from 1 species
UGACCAUAGAAGUGCUUUCUCACAGCCAGCUAAUGGGGCAGGAAGCAUUCUUAACAAGUGACCUUUCAUCAGAACAACUGAUAGAGGUCCAAAAGCUGUAGCAGAAUAUAGCACCAACUUCAUCCAGGGUGUCAUAGAAGAAUGGGAGGGAGGUCCAAAAUGAACAGGGCCUUUUGGUCCUGGCAAAACUGAAGAAGGGGGGAGGGGAACCAUGGAUACAACAAUGUCAUAGUCACGCAUAAACAGACGAUCUAAAGUAGCCGGUGAGAGAGCAGCCAAGCUUUCACAGCGG